GACACCCUUGCACGUCCUGCUUGUACGUGCGCAAGGAUAUGUGGCGGAUAAAAGAGAAAACCCUAUAUUCGCACCGACGUGCCGACGAGAAACUGCCAAGUGGAAUCACGAACCCUCGAACUCGAAGGUGCAGCGCAACCCUGCAGGCCAGCUUCUGCUCAAUUGUAUUUCGGCAGUCCUCCGUGUGCGUGGUGUGCGUCGCUCGCUCGCUCUUGGCUCUUUUUUUCUAUCGGUCAACCACUACCACCAUCCCCAUACUACGCCGCAUCAUCACACAUCCGUGCGCGCAUCCGUAUUGAUUGCGCAAAUAGCGAGGUUUGUAAAACCGUGAGCAGCAAGAGUGAAAGAGAACGGAGCACACAGUAAAGUGUACUCCCGCAAUAUACACGCCACACAUACAUACACAUAAACACACACACACAGUGAGCGAUUGUGUUCGAAUAGUUUGUAGCCGUGUGUGCAUAGCGCGGCAGUUUGCAGUAGCAGCAUAGAAUUGGUCAUCUCGUUUGUGGCAGCCAGAAGCAGCAGCAGCAGCAGCAGCAGACAUCGAAACACGCUCGAAGGGGGGUGAGAAAAGUUGUGUUCUGUCAGCUUGAGCAUUCUUCGCUGCCAUCACACACAUUUGUUCCGUGCGUUCGGCGCUGGCAGUACCCCGUGUCCCGUGUGUUUGUGUCCCGCUCAUCGGUCGGUGUCCGUCCGUCCUGCGUGUGUGCAAAGUGCAAAAACCGCCCCAAAAACAGUGAAAUAGUGUGCCACCGAACUGAAGCGGUGCGAAUUAGUGGUGAAGUGUUUUCCCUUUUCCCGUGUGGCCCACCACGAAAGAACACGCGCGUGUCGUCUUCUAAACACCGUCGUCGUGUCGCUCUCUCUCACACACAUACACAUACAGACACGACGUAUCGUACAAACGCACAGCUCGGCUAGGCCAACAAACCUUCUAAGGAGGUGUGUAACGGGUUUUUUUUAACGCUAAUCUCGCUCUCUCUGGUCUGUUAGCCCACACCCAACACACACACACACCCCUGGUUAGCUCCCGUGCGCUUGGCCGCGGGACCACUUGAAACAGCCUCAAAAUUACGACCGUAAACAUGACGAACAAGGUGCUGGCGGCGGUGCAGGACCUCCAGAAGCAGCAGCAGCAACAGCAGCAGCAACAACAGCAGCAGCAGCAGCAACAGCAGCAACAGCAGCAGCAGCAGAAUGGCGCAAACGGUGGCGGUGGUGGUGGUGGUGGUGAAGCAGGCCAAACGGUGGCCGGCGGUGCGGCGGGCGGCGGUGGCCAAAGCUCGGACAACAACUCGCGCACCAACCUGAUCGUGAACUAUCUGCCACAGACAAUGACGGAGGAAGAGAUCCGGUCGCUGUUCUCGAGCGUCGGCGAGGUGGAAAGCGUGAAGCUGGUGCGCGACAAGAACGUCAUCUACCCGGGGCAGCCGAAGGGGCAGAGCCUCGGGUACGGCUUCGUCAACUACCACCGGCCGCAGGAUGCCGAGCAGGCGGUGAACGUGCUGAACGGGCUGCGGUUACAGAACAAGGUGCUGAAGGUGUCGUUCGCCCGGCCCAGCUCGGAGGGCAUCAAGGGUGCGAACCUGUACAUCUCCGGCCUGCCGAAGACGAUCACGCAGGAGGAGCUGGAGACGAUCUUCCGGCCGUACGGCGAGAUCAUCACGUCGCGCGUCCUCAUCCAGGACGGCAACGACAAGCCGAAGGGCGUCGGCUUCAUCCGGUUCGACCAGCGCAAGGAGGCGGAGCGGGCGAUCCAGGCGCUGAACGGUACCACGCCGAAGGGGCUGACCGAUCCGAUCACGGUCAAGUUCUCGAACACGCCGGGCCAGAAUGCGGCGGCCAAGGUGGUGCAGCCGGCCCUGCCCGCCUUCCUGAACCCGCAGCUGACGCGCCGGCUCGGCGCAAUUCACCAUCCGAUCAACAAGGGGCUGGCCCGGUUUUCGCCCAUGGGCGGGGAGGUGCUGGACAUGAUGCUGCCCGCCGCACCCGCCAACGGCUUGAACGUGGCCCCGUCCGGUGGCUGGAGCAUAUUCAUCUACAAUCUCGCACCGGAGACGGAGGAAAACACGCUGUGGCAGCUGUUCGGCCCGUUCGGUGCGGUGCAGAACGUGAAGGUCAUCAAGGAUGCGGCCACGAACCAGUGCAAGGGGUACGGGUUCGUGACGAUGACCAACUACGAGGAGGCGAUGCUGGCCAUCCGGUCCCUCAACGGCUACACGCUCGGUCAGCGCGUCCUGCAAGUCAGCUUCAAGACCAACAAGUCAAACGGCGGCCAUAUGGGUGAAAACUAAAACGGGGGGCACAGCCGUUGAAGAAACGAACACCCAGAAGCCAUAUACUCUCUCACAUCCCUCUUACCCUACAACAACAACAACAACAACUACUACUACGCACAGACACGGUACAGUACAAGAAGGUGUGCAGGCAAAGGAUGCUGCAGGGUGACCACAGAAUGAUGGAGAAGAAUGCAGCGCAAAGGAAGGAGCUAAAGCUAUGCAACAUUAAAGGAUGGCAAACUGUUGGGCGCAAAUAGCAGGCAAAAAAUCACUGAAACUGUAACAAAAAAAAAAAACAAUCCAAAACCACACACUAUUAGCCGGACAGUAGAGAACGAUUGGUGAGUGCGCGGGUGGCGAAGGUCUGGAGUGAAAACCCGUAAACUGCAGUUGUCCCAAGCAGCACCACCAGCAGCAGCAGCAGGUAAACCCCAUUAAACUAGCAUUUCGUCGAUAUGUUCGAAGCUGUACGCUCGAAGAAGAGAAGGGAAAAAUAGCAAACACUGAUCAAUCCCGCCACGCGUUUAAAAGCUUCAAACAGUACAGUCCUCUCACCCUCUAAUCAAAAUGCAAAAUGCAAGUGAGAGCACCGUUGCAAGUGUUUUGAAUUGGCGGUUAAGAAUCGGACCUACUUUCAUCAGGAUGGCAAUUAACAUCGGUGCAUCUGUACAAGGAAAGCAACACCUACACACAAGUGCUGCAGCGAGAGAGGGAGAGAGACAGAGAGGGUAGUGUGCAGGUAAACUUAAAUCUAGUCAAAAGUCCAGCAAUGGAAAGAAGCAACACGAAAGCGUCAGGUGACCUAACAUUGGAGACAAUUUAGAAGGAAUAAUGAUCCCCCGGCAGAAAGAGAGAGGGAGAGAGAGAGAGCAAGUGGCAUGCAGAGAUGAAACAUGCAAGAUAUGUUUUUUGCCUAUAUUUUAUAAACUCUAGGUUUUUUUUAUAUAUAAAAAUAUUAUUAGUAUACUGUACACAGGAAAACAUGUGCAUUUUUCUAAACGUUUGCUACCAAAAAAAAAACAAGAUGGGUAAAUGGUAAUGAUAAACGAAAAACAUACACACCAGCCGACCACUCGAGGACAGCAGCAUAUACCAGAAGGAGGUAGUACAUCACAAAUGAGCUGAUUUAUAUUGAUAUCGUUGCAAUAGUGGUGUAAGGAAUAAUUUGAAAAAAAAAAACAAUCCUUCACCGGCACAUGCAAUAUAUACAUAUAUUAUUACCUUUCGUUUACUUAGGAAAAUGCUUUGAAAAACAAAGUGUGGACACACUGUUUGUUCGGCAGUGCAACCCCGUGCAACUCGAUUGUCGAAAUAGUCUAUUCAGUUUAGAACUAUGGCCCCGGUGGACGAUAAAAGUAUAUGCAGUAUAUGUAUAUCGCUAUAAACAGAUUGUUGGGGAGGGGAAAUGCUGGAAUUAGGAGAAUUUUAUUUAUUUGCUUAACUUAUUUAUUUGGGAUAACUUGUAGGAAAAGCAAGAGGCGCAUAGACAAAUGCAUCACGUGUGCGUGGUAGGGGGUUUUAGAGGAAUUAAAGGGCUUGUCACGACACAACAUCCACUAUUACACUUGCUGCUGCGUAAGGCGAAAGUACGAUCACUGGAGAUCGCGAACCCACAGCAGGGGGGGGGGGGGUUCACACGGAAAUGGAAAGAUUAAAUGUGCGGUGUGUCUGAUUUUAAUUCAUCCCCGGACGACGUCAAACCAGUAAAACGAGCCUAAGAAAAUGUCCCUUUGGCAAACAAAAAAAAAAACAGAGGAACAAUAUGGCAUACAAACACGAUUCAAAUCACAUAGCGGGAGAUUAGCAGUGUAUAACGGCAGCGUGUGCAGUAUAUACAGGGUUAUCCAGGAGUUCUUACAGGUGUGGGACACUUUAUUGACGCUUUCUUGCGUGAAAUGAACAUAAUCUAAUGGGAAUUGUACUCUAUAGCACCCUUGUUGGACAAAUCCAAUGGGAAUUUCCAAGGAGCCUGUCCAAAACGGGUGCCAUAGAAUCCAAUUACAAUCAUAUGAAGUUCACUUCCCGUAAGAAAGAGUCAAGGAAGUGUCCCACAACUAUGAGAACCCCCGGGAAAACCAUGUAAUGAUUACACCUAGUUCGUUUUCUUUGAACGGCAUAUUAUGAAUGCAGCAGCACCACUGCAGAGCACAUUUACACGCUGACAGACAUGGGCAUGGGCGGCGUAAAUAUUACACACACUCUCUCUAUGAAGUUAGUAUGAGCAUUUUGCAUACCACAGUAAAUGGACACCACCACACCACACAUUUAACAGCUGAUCUCAAACAGACGCUAGUAUAAAAUGAUGUCAGCGUAAACGGUAGAGAAACUAAUGAAGGAGAGGGCUUGUAAUGCAUCGGCCAAAAAAAGGAGGCCGUUAUUAUAUAUGAAGCGCAGAACCCUUAAAUCCGAAGUAGUGCAAGAGGCGCGCGCUAUGAGAUGAAAGCAGACAAACAGAAAGCAAAGAAAAAAACAAAACAAACGAAAACUAAACAGAACGUACUUAAGUAAAAACAAACACGUACUAAAAAGCAAAGGAUUCCGCUGGUGAAGCGCUGGUAGCGAAAACUUACUGUUCUUCCCCGUUAGGACAGAGAGAGAAAGAGAGAAAGAGAGAGAGAGAGAGAGAGAGAGAGAGAGAGCAAGGGAAACAACCUAGAAGCACACAUUCAACCGUGUUUGCCAAUAUGUUUGCGGUGAAAGCGGUGAUGAUCCUCUACUCCUCUCGAUUUGUCCAUCCAUUUAAUUUUUGAUCUCAACCAGAACGCGAGAGUCUCGAGAAUGUUUAAACAAACAAGUGGAAACGAUAGAAACAUUAUACUUUUAGUGUUAUGAAAACGGGAAAUGGCACAAACAGCUUUCUUCCCCUUCUUGAAGCACAUUACUCUAAUCUAGUCGAAAUGCUGAUGAAAGGGCAAGAAUUUAGAAGAACAGGUGAAAGAACAAAGAUGAAUGUGUAGGGAUGAAAGCUAUAAAGAAAGCGGGAGAGGGGGGGAGAGAGAGAGAGAGAGAGGGAAAGCAUGAAGGACAAUGGAUCGUAAGCAUUCUAGUGUAAUCUACUUAUAUUGACUCCUUCGAACUGCUCGUGCUACUUUGAAUGUUGAAUCGCAGUGAGUAAAACCCACCACCACCACGUUUGGAAACAUUAUUUGAGAUGCGACGACACAUACAAAGCCUCGUCACGAGCAGGAAAAGUUGUGUAUAAAAUUCCACGUUUUACUUGAUGAUGGAUAAAAAAAGGCAAACUUAGCAAAACCACGUACACACACACACACACAUACACACACAAAACACGAACGCUGCAAUGCAAAUGGAGAAAUAUCGAUCUCAAUUGUGAAAUGAGCUGAUCAUAGUCCCUUCCAACAGCAUCUCUAUGUUUAGUUUUACUUUUAUUCUCGCUCUCUUUCCCUCUCUUUUUGCGCUCUUUUGCGCGCAAAACCAGGCAAGCAAUCAAUCCGUUCGCGGCCAAACCACGUGGCCACAGAGUAGUUUACUUCUGCACGACUCAACCUUCUAAUAACGUACCACUCCACUCUCUAGCAAGGAACUCGCACAGCGUGAAGCAUUUUGCGCUGGGGGGCCUUGCUCCGGCUGCAAAAAAAAAAAAAGAGCCGAGCUCUACUGGCUAAACCCUAGGACAGGACACUCUGAACCUUGGGCAAUUUUUUUUUUCUUUUUUUCCUUUUAGUUCGAUACCAAAAGUGGAAAAAAGCAGCAGCAGCAAACAAACAAACAAAACACUCACACAUACCAGCCACAGUGUGUGUGUGUGUGUAACGCAGGCAACAAACCACAACAAAAAUGGUGUUGAACAUGAUGAAUAUCGCACAGUAAUUUUUAAGCAAAGUGUUGAAACAAACCGAAUCCCUCCCUCCGGGCAGCGCAUUUUGUGGGCGAAAGCUCGGAAGGGAGAGGCAGUGAGGGGAAAAAUGUUAUAUAUGGUAUAUAAUUAUUAUUCUACAUGCAUAUUAUAUACAUGCUCCUUGCUCUCCCCCGACACUCGUUUGGAGGGGAGGAAAGCAGUUGUUUGGGAGGGGGCGGCAAACGUAUAGUCAAAGUGUGUGCUUGCGUGAGAAGGAAGGAAACAGGAAAGCAUGAAAACCAUGAAAUGAAAAUACUCUUUCUUAGUGAAAAACAACAUCCAAACCGCAGAGCAAGCAGCAAAUGUAACGUAAAAAACAUAGUUUUGACGAUUAUUAAAGCAAAAAUGGUCCUGAAAAGGGUUAGGAGAAAAUAGUAGAAAAAAGGAAAAAUCCUUGAAAAUAAUGGUAUUAUCCCCCCCCCCCCUUUCUUCCCCCCUUCGUAGCAUAGACCUACUAAUUAGUAUUGAGAGCAGAUGGGAAUCGGAGGCAUCGAUGAGGUUUGCUGCUUCGGUUUUUGGAAAACCGGAAAGGGCUAACUAAUGUAAGGGCAAACUGUGUUUAGAUAUAAAUUAUACACAUAAACACAUCCCCACACACAAACACACACACACACAUACAAAAGCACCCACUGCAGAGUUGGCAUUUGAUACCCGAAUUAAUCAAGCAUACAUUACGAACAAAAGCAAAUAAAUCAUGAUUAUUAUAUGUACAGUAAAAACACGCAAACGCAAUGAGCCAAACACAGCUCACAUACAAACACAACACUCACAUACAAGGUCAGGUACGGCGAGAACCCCCAGGAGCGAGCGAUAUACGGUGAAAAUGGGUAGCUUGUUUACUCUCUAGCAGCAAAAUAGCCAAAUGUCCUGUUUGAGUUCCUUUUUCCUCUGUGAGUUAUCAAGCAAUCGAAAGAGCGAGAGCGAGAAAGGAAGACAUUCUACUCUUGUUGUUUCUUUUUUUUUGGAAUGGGAUUGAAAAUAUUACAUUUUUUUUAAACAAUUGUUUUCAAUUGUUCUACGCCGAUUGUUGUUUGCUCCAACAAUUCACCAACAAUGGAAGUAGCGGAGUAUCGAAAUAUGCUCCCGACUUCUUCCCCUAUGCCCGAUGCCCCUAUUUAUACGCAUGCAGUGCACGAGAGUUUGUCAGUUAAAAUUUUGAUUGACUGAAACCUUCAAACGAUUCCAUUUAAAGCUGUGAUACGAAAACUCUUCUUUGUAAGCCUCCUCCCUCCUCCUCCCCAGCCAAAUUGCAUCCGCCGCUCGUAUAAGCAGGCGGAUGCUUCCAGCUCACAGGCUCUGUUCCGUUUCCCCGUGGAUGACUGGGGGGGAGACUCAUCAUCAAUCCUGCCCACCGGUUCCACUCACAGGACCAGUGUUUUGCUCUGGUUCAACGUUGUUUUCAUCAUUGUUUUUUUAUGAUUUGCUUUAUUUUGUUUUUUUACUCGCUGGGGUAACUUUUUUCUCUCCCAAAAGUAUCCCUUUCAUCUCACUCGGCUUAUGCUUUUACACCCUUUUUAUACUUUUGUUAAACUUUACUGUUUUAUGUUGCCUCAUUCUCUCUCUAACACUUCUAAGUGGUGGUGUUUCAAAAAAAAAAAAAAAAAAACAACAACAUUGGUACUUUUGUUUAGCUUUUCGUUUGUUUUGUUUUUUUUUUACUUUCUUAUGAGUUUUCAUUUUUCUCUUAUCUUUUGCGACCAAACAUCAUAUUACUUUAGUGUAUUGGGUUUUUGUAACGAGGAAGAAUGUUUUAAGAUUGUAUUAGACAGCCCAAAGAAUGAAUCGAACCACAGGGUCAAAAAAAAGCACGGACACAGACGCUACUACAAACAAAGCAACUUGGAAUAACAGGAAAAAAAGUGGUGUAAACAAAUGAACAAGUGAAGUAGAAAAUAAGAAGCAAACACACGAAGAAACGAUUACUCGAAACAGUAAAUGACCAGUUACAGAUACCAAAAACAACAGCAACAAAAAAGCAGGAAUCAGAAGAAAAAAAAGAAAAAAAACUACAAAAGCAUUAUGCAAAGGAAGAUAGGAAGAGUGUCGUCCUAGGCAGGACGUUGUGGCGGCGCGCGAUGAUCAAAUCACAUUCGAUUCUACACAACACUUUCACGAUUCUCGUAAUAUUACCCGGGCCCUCCCUUUUAGUUAAUGCUUUAGUUUGUAACACAAAACGUUUUGUUUAUUUAGUGUGAAAAUCAAUGUCUAAUCAUCCUAUUCGUGUGUAUUAACGUUUUCGUGAGUUUCGUUUGCAAUUAUGGUUAAGGGGAUUUAUCAUCGAGUUUUAUGAUUUUUAUUUUUAUUUUUUCUUAACACUUUGCGAUGCGUGUCAGUCUUUCCUUUUUUUUUUUAAACAGAUAUAUUAUUUUUUCCAACUAUGAUGGUACCCACUGUCUGUGCGCUAUGGGAGUUUAAGAUUUCUUAGUGCAUAAAUGUGAGGAGUGGUAAAAGGGGGCCAGCAGCGUGUGUUAGCGACACAGCAUGGAGCUCUUUUAAUAGCAAGUAAUGAUAGAGGAAGAAGAACGAGAGGUGUGUGCAAUAGAAUGUUCUUUAGUUUCCGUCAUAUACACUGCUACUCUAUUACUACUACUAGUAUACUACUACUACUCCUACUGCAAACAACUACCUACUCUGCCGCUUUUAAUCUUAUCCAAUCUAAUUAUUUAUCGAUACCAUCUGUGUAGUAUAAGGUAUUAGUGUUUAUUUUGCUCUCCUCAUCAUUUCGAAGCCGAACACAUUGGCGCUUGGGCUUUCCAAGGGAAUAUUGUUCUGAGGAUUGACGCGAAUGUGGAGAAGAAGAAAUGUGCAUGCGUGUGUGCGCGCGCGCGCGCGAUAGAGUAACAUUGAUUGGUUUGAUUUUUGUUUGUGUUUAAUUUUCUUUUCUUUCUUUCCUUUCUCACUAAUUUACAAGAUGCUAGAGAGUGUGUGACUAUUUAUAGUAAAAAAUAUUAUUAUUUUUAUUGCGAAAUAAAUCGAUAUAUUUUAUCCAGCAGCCCCUGUUUGCGUACGCUGGGGAUGUUUGCAAGAUUUUCUUUUAUUAUUAUUUAUAGUCCUACAUACACCCACACAAACACACUGAAGUGUCCAAUCUGGGACGUGCAGUAGUAACAAGCAAUAGUGAAAAAUAGAAAGCGAGCGAGAGCAGAUGAGUGAGAUUCGGGCAAGAAGAAGCAGCAAGAGGCAUUACUAACUGAUUCGUUACUAAUAAUAUUGUAGUUUUUUGCAAGCAAAAGCCCAAGUAUCACAGCUGUGUGUACACAAGUGAGCUACGGGGGGGCAACCGUCCCCCGCACCACACUUCCAGCACAAUAUAAGUCACGAAUUUAAAAUGAGUGUGAACAUGUUCAAAAUAGCACUGGAAAUGCAUGGGUCAGAAAUAUGCAGUGGAGAAAGUUUGCAACGAACCACACACCACCGUCGUAUUUGGAGCGGUUCAUACAGAAUAGAGAGAGUGAGAGAGAGAGUUUGGUUUGGGUUUUGUACAAUUUUCUUCUAAAAAUCCGUUUCCGUUCCAUUUUUUCAACCCGAUGUUCUUCUACUGUGUAAAUAAUUAUAAAUUAUUAUAAACCCAACAGCCCAACAAUCCAAAUAGCUCGAUGGUGGGAUGGGGGAGAAUAAUCAAACUCUAAGCUGGCAAAAAAAGGCAAACAUAGAACACACAAUCCACACAGCCCACAGAAAACAAGAAAAAAUACAGCAAAACGCCAGGGGAAAAGAAAUAAUACACCUUCAUAUAUAUCAUAAUAGAGCAGCAGCAAAACAACAGAAACAAAGAGAAAAAUAGAGCGAAUAGGUGUGGCGGCGAGGAGUCCCUGAUAACCUGGCAAGAGAAGCAGCCGAUUAAAAAAAAUAAGGAAAAAAGGGGAGAAAAGCAAACAACAGAACAAAAAUAAAAAUCUUAUUAUUUAAGUACGUA